UACGGAGGGUGCAAGCGUUAUCCGGAUUCACUGGGUUUAAAGGGUGCGUAGGUGGAUCUGUAAGUCAGUGGUGAAAUCUCCAAGCUUAACUUGGAACUGCCGUUGAUACUAUAGAUCUUGAAUGCUGUGGAGGUGAGCGGAAUAUGUCAUGUAGCGGUGAAAUGACUUAGAUAUCUGGAGGAACACCGGUGGCGAAGGCGGCAUCCUGGACCGGCAUUGGACGCUGAGGCGCGAAAGCCAGGGGAGCAAAGCGGG
rnacentral:rRNA from 1 species